rnacentral:misc_RNA from 1 species
GCAAACUUGGUCAUUUAGAGGAAGUAAAAGUCGUAACAAGGUAACCGUAGGUGAACCUGCGGUUGGAUCAUUACUAAAUUUAACUAAAGGUAUUAGUAUCGAAAGAUCUAGUAUUCUUUAUACAAAUUUGUGAACUUUUUAAAGUCUUUUGGGUUGAAGGUAAAAUGUCAACCCAAAUUGUUAAACAAAUCUAUUUUAAAAUGAGUCUUUAAACAAUUAAAACUUAAUUUAAAAACAACUUUUAACAACGGAUCUCUUGGCUCUCGCAUCGAUGAAGAACGCAGC